rnacentral:rRNA from 1 species
AGUGAACGCUGGCGGUAGGCCUAACACAUGCAAGUCGAACGGCAGCACAGUAAGAGCUUGCUCUUACGGGUGGCGAGUGGCGGACGGGUGAGGAAUACAUCGGAAUCUACUUUUUCGUGGGGGAUAACGUAGGGAAACUUACGCUAAUACCGCAUACGACCUACGGGUGAAAGCAGGGGAUCUUCGGACCUUGCGCGAUUGAAUGAGCCGAUGUCGGAUUAGCUAGUUGGCGGGGUAAGGGCCCACCAAGGCGACGAUCCGUAGCUGGUCUGAGAGGAUGAUCAGCCACACUGGAACUGAGACACGGUCCAGACUCCUACGGGAGGCAGCAGUGGGGAAUAUUGGACAAUGGGCGCAAGCCUGAUCCAGCCAUACCGCGUGGGUGAAGAAGGCCUUCGGGUUGUAAAGCCCUUUUGUUGGGAAAGAAAAGCAGCAGGUUAAUACCCCGCUGUUCUGACGGUACCCAAGGAAUAAGCACCGGCUAACUUCGUG